rnacentral:rRNA from 1 species
UACGAAGGGGGCAAGCGUUGUUCGGAAUUACUGGGCGUAAAGCGCGCGUAGGCGGACCUGCAAGUCGGGGGUGAAAGCCCGAGGCUCAACCUCGGAACUGCCUUCGAUACUGCGGGUCUCGAGUCCGGGAGAGGUGAGUGGAAUUCCUAGUGUAGAGGUGAAAUUCGUAGAUAUUAGGAAGAACACCAGUGGCGAAGGCGGCUCACUGGCCCGGUACUGACGCUGAGGCGCGAAAGCGUGGGGAGCAAACAGG